rnacentral:rRNA from 1 species
UACGUAGGGGGCAAGCGUUGUUCGGAUUUACUGGGCGUAAAGGGUGCGUAGGUGGCGAGGUAAGUUCGAUGUGAAAUCUCCGAGCUCAACUCGGAAAUGGCAUUGAAUACUAUCCCGCUUGAGGGUCGGAGGGGAGACUGGAAUUCUCGGUGUAGCAGUGAAAUGCGUAGAUAUCGAGAGGAACACCAGUGGCGAAGGCGGCCUUCUGGACAGCGACUGACGCUGAGACGCGAAAGCGUGGGGAGCAAACAGG